UGUGUGUGUCUGUGUGAGUGAGUGUGUGUGUGUGUGUGUGUGUGUGUGUGUGUGUCUGUGUCUGUGUGUCUGUGUGUGUGUGUGUGUAUAUAUGAGUGAGUGUGUGUGUGUGUGUGUGUGUGUGUGUGUGUGUGUGUGUGUGUGUGUGUGUGUAUGUGUGUGUUUUGAUUAAUGUCUACCUAUUGAAGUCUUGAGCAGGCAGAGUGCGUGCAGCUUUAUAACACACGUAGCUGCUUUGAGUCAUUACAUCAUGCUGUUAUUGCGUGUGUCUGAACACACCCUGUUGUGAUUGCAAAAUCUGAACUUCACUGCACCCCGCAGUAGAUGCAUAUCUCCUUCGACAAAAUAUCAUUUCCAGCUGGACGGGACAGGAAUAUUUCUUCCUCUAGUUAGAGCUCAGUGAUGAAUGCAGGAGCUUGCUGAGUGUGCUGCUGUGUUCUGGGCUCGUGGAAGGGGAAGAGAGAGACUGGCAGAUGUGAGAGACUGCAUCCUGCCAAGACACUUUACGGACAAUGCCAAGUCAUUUCAGAAAAUACAUUUUCUGCUGCUUUAAAAAUCUUUGAAGGAAUGCAGCCAAAGACAGCAGCGGGGUUUGGGGAAGCGGCCCUGUGUUUGUGGGAAGAAUGGACUUCCAGCCGCGUGAAGGAAUACACCUGCUGCACCGAAGCACAAACACUGCUCCCCGAGACACGCUUCACAGAGACACAGCCGAGCUCUUGUGCUUCAGAUGAAGGUUUUGGUUUGUUUUCUGAUCACAGUGUCAAAACUGGCAUCAUUACAGUAUUAAAGCAUUUCCAGCUGAUGACAAUACCUUCUAAGAACGGCUGCAGAUGUUCACAUGAAUGUUCUAUUAACAUAACUGGAAGAACAUCUGUACAAAACCUUGCCAGAACAUUAGACAAAGUUAUGAGAAUGUUUAGCUGGGCUAAAAACCUGUUAGCAGUUAUUCAUUUUCAUAUCCUAAACAGAGCUGAGAAGAUUACUUACAAAUUAUCAUCCGUUACAGAUGCCAUACAUGACAUGACAAAAACUGUAGUGAUCCAUCACAUUACAAUCAGACUACUUCUAGAUUACUUUUGACCUAACUUGUUUUCACAUUGAUUUGAAUAGGAUUAU
ensembl:lncRNA